CACACAAGCCUCUGCCAUGGCCAUAAGUAUGCACCAUGCACGGUGAGCAAACCGGGGACUUUUUUGGGUUCAUGAGUUGCUUAGUGACUCCAGUAGUGAACUGAAAUCCAGUGCCCUUUGCAUGGACAGUAGCUUCUUUCCUGUUGAUACAGGCGCUCUUCGCUCGGACUCCCAUUAUAUUCCCUAAGGCUCACACAGGGGAAAGAGACGGGUCAGAGAUAGAGAGAGAGAGAGGGGGGUGUCUUUUGAGUUAGUUUUGUUUCACACAUGAAGAGAAAGGAGCUGAUCAUGAACGUUAUUUUGAUCCUUGCGUGCUUCAUUGUGUGCACGGCAGGCGCGCCGCAGGAGAAGGCGGAGUCGACCACCCCGAUCCCUACCCUGUCUCCUCCGGAGGGAAACACGAGCUUCAUCGACGGUGUCACCUGGUGCGUCGCGCGGCCGGGAGUCCCCCAGGAGGACCUCCAGAACGCGCUGGACUGGGCGUGCGGCCAGGGCGCUGCCGACUGCUCGCCGCUGCAGCCGGGCGGGCAUUGCUACGAGCCCAACACGCUCCUGUUGCACGCCUCCUACGCCUUCAACAUCUUCUACCAGCAGAACGGCAAUUCCGACAUCGCCUGCAACUUCGGCGGCGCUGGAACCAUCACCAACAGGGACCCAAGUUUCGGGCCAUGCAAGUUCCUGGCAUCUGAGUGAGUCUACUUCACACGUACUACUAGUAUACCAAAGGCACUCCAGUUUGGAACACUUGAAUUUCACAAGAAACACUUUCACACGACUUCUGCUGCUUCAGCGCUCGUGUUGAGGAGCACGAGGAUGAUCUGUGCUGCGUUUCUGACCAUGCUUCAGCUCAGAGUUUUCCAAGCUGUGUACUGAGCGCCGUGUGUCGGUGGCUGGGAUGGCUUACUGGUGCUACCAAAGUAUGUAAUGCAAAAUCAACAAUGCUAUGGUGGUUUCUCCUUU